UAACCCAGGAGAGGCAGGAGUGAAGAUGCUUGAGCAGCUAAGACUGGACACUCUGAGGGCGGAGCCUGCUGGAGUCCGAUGGUUGAGACCAGGUCUGAGGAAGUAUUCCUGUCAACUCACAAUCGACACAAACACAGUGAACACAAACCUCCAACUGUCUGACAACAACAGGAAGGUGACACGUGUGGAGGAGGUUCAGUCAUAUCCUGAUCAUCCAGACAGAUUUGAUGUUUGUGAACAGCUGCUGUGUAGAGAUGGUCUGACUGGUCGCUGUUACUGGGAGGUCGAGUGGACGAGGAGGGCUUGGAUAUCAGUGAGUUAC